AACGAACGCUGGCGGCGCGCUUAACACAUGCAAGUCGAACGAGAAGGCGUAGCAAUACGCUUGUACAGUGGCGAACGGGUGAGUAAUACGUGGGCGACCUACCCUCGAGUGGGGAAUAACCCGCCGAAAGGCGGGCUAAUGCCGCGUACGCUUCCAUCUUUAUGGAGGUGGAAGGAAAGCCGUGCCGUGGGCACGGCGCUCAAGGAUGGGCUCACGUCCUAUCAGCUUGUUGGAGGGUUACGGCCUACCAAGGCUCCGACGGGUAGCUGGUCUGAGAGGACGAUCAGCCACACUGGCACUGCGACACGGGCCAGACUCCUACGGGAGGCAGCAGUGAGGAAUAUUGCGCAAUGGGCGAAAGCCUGACGCAGCGACGCCGC
rnacentral:rRNA from 1 species